UUUGUUCAUAAAAACUAUUGAAUCACAGAUUGCUAGGAAUCAUACACAUCAUACAUAUUUUAAUGCUUCAUUACAACCAUUGCAAUUUGUACACAAAUUACAUCCUCUUAUUUACUCAUUUAACUGUCAGAUAAGAAAAAAAUGAAGAAAGUUAUAGAAAAUGUGGGAAUUGCAAAGAAUUUACUUACAAGUGUUGCAAAAAUCCUUAGCAAACAAAUUACAUAUAUAUUGAGAUUAUAAUGCAUAAUUAUUUUUCAUCUGUUUUAUUGUCUGUAUUUAUGGCAAGGAGGUGGUUUACCCUGUGAACUGAAAACUCCUUAACCACUCAUUCUGUCUUCCUCCUCACAUCUCACAGACUGAGCAGGAGGAUGUGUCAUUCUGCACAAGCAACCCAGGUAGUAUUUCGGCAAGGACAGCAACUGGGAGGAUUACUUGUUCAUACAUGGUGCAUGGUGACUCAGUGGCUCUCGCUGGAACCUCUGAGCAUCAUAAUUCAUUGCCUUGCCUCCGUUAACAUUUGUGGAGUGGUCUACGGCAACAUAUUGUGAACAUUAAAACAUGAAAAUGGUCUAGGACUGGGAAACAUUUUCUGGAAAGACUCAAGAUGAUGUGAUGGGGAGUCUAACACACUGAAGGUCUGUAUUUUUCUCUCUUUCACGCCUUUUUUACUGGAAAUAUUAUAGUGGAAAUGGAAUAUGGGUAGCAGCGGGCUCUUGAAAUUUCUGCAUUCCUGAAACAUUUGGGGGACUUGCCUUAACAAUUGUGCCAACCACAGCUCAGAAAUGUGUUGCUUUCACUCUGUGGAGCCUGGCAAAACAGAACAAAAU
rnacentral:lncRNA from 1 species